UUUAUCUUCGAAUGCUUCUGGACCCUUUUCCCCACCCUCACGCACCAUCAACAAUGGAGAAUCCUACGCAUUCCAUUUUGAAUCCAUAGCAAACUCACUCUGGCAACACCACUACAACCGAUUAACACCACCACAGUUCCUCUCACCUCUUUCUUGUACUUGUCCACGAAGAGCUUCGAGCUAAAUAUUUAGCCGCUCACACAUGUUGUUUUCUCUCUCACUUUGAAGACGCACCAGCCACCGGCACGUAGCGUGUUUCAAUCUACGGCUCGUUUCUGUUCGGGUGUUGAGGUAUGAAAGUCGAUUGAAUGUCCAUUGAGGUCAUGUGUUUAUAGAUUCAUGAACGUGUGAUUAAUGGUACCCCUCAUUCUUUGAUGUAAAUUAAAGAAUACGGAGGGAGAGGAGCAGGCCAAGGGCUCUCCGGCCGGCGACAUCGGUGAUGGCUACGCAAAGAAACAAACAGGACAAUGGGUGCUUGGAUGUGUUAGGAAUAAGAAAGUUUCUUCAAUGAUCUGCGUCAAAUUGGCAAGGUAAGUUACAAUGUGAUGCAUAUAGAGCUUUUUUUUUUCAUCUGGGUGUUCUUUUAUUUUUAUAGCGUUUACGGGUUACUCAGAAGGUUUCCCGUUGGAUGUGGCUUUGUAAUCGGCGUUUUUUUUAUGCUCAAAGGGCCGAAAAAUCAGAUUCUACAUAUGCCAUCGACAGAGGUAAUUGCAUUAAAAUUUUGAAAUUAAAUAGUGGCGAUAUGUUGGGCAGGUCAGGUGGUUCACGAAUUAAAGUCGGUUAUUUUUAGUUUUAAAAAGUGCGCCUCACACCAACAUAGACACCAAACAUUUGAAUAGCGACUUCGAUCUGAGAUCAUCCUGCUGCUGUGUAAUGUGCAAAUAAGGAAAUGUUGUCCACUUUUUGGUGUUUUAGUUGUGUUUUCUUCUUAUGAAAUUUGUAUGAUCACAGAAGGCGCAUUAAUUUAGAGACUACUGGGAGGAUAUUGGAACGUUCAAGUCUUUUCAUAGCGUAAUAGCGCUCUUACAAAUGUGGUACCCAAGUUUCUUUUUUGUGGUCCGACACCAACCAAGAUUGAAAAUUGCAAGGUUUGAUUCUGAUUCAUUUUAACUGGUUCACCCGCUCCAUGAAUUUAGCAUAUCAAAUAUGAAUUUAGCAUGCAUUACAAUUAAUGAUUCAUGCUAGCAUCUUUUUAUAUGCAUAGAAAGUAAAAACUUGGGGUGUCAUCCUAUGUUAGUCAAUAAUAAUUUAGAUGUAGAAUUAGCAUAUUAUUUCUGGAUGACUCGGCUAAUUCAUCAAGUAAGUUGUUUCUAUCUCAUAUUUUCCUACUUUUUAAUGAUCAAACUCUGUUGAUGUACAUGGAAAUUUGCUGGGCUAAACAGGUCGAAAGUCAUACAAAGCGCAUGAUCGACGCAGAAUACUAGAGCUGGGAUAAUGCUAUUCCAUUUGGUUGCCUUUUCUAUGUUAGUUCUAAAUUUAUAUCCUUAAAACUGUAGUGAUAACAACAACAACAACAACAAUAAUAAUAAUAAUAAUAAUAAUAAUAAUAAUAAUAAUAAUAAUAAUAAUAAUAAUAACAACAAUGGGGAUAAUGAGAUCAAGCAAUCUGAGAGCAUUGAAAAGGGUAUCAACAAAGAUGUUUUAAUGGUAGAAAAUGUUGAUAAAAUUGAAGAAACUGAACUAAAGAAAGAAGAUGAUGAUGGGGUAGUAGAAUAGGUUAAGAAGAAUAUUAAAGAAUUAUCAUCAGUUCCAUUGGAAAAAAAGUGAAUAAAGUGCUAAUGAUGGUGCUUCAAAGGAUGAAGAAAAUGCAGCAAAUGAGUAAGAACUUUGAACUCAUAUCAAUCUAAAGGUAUAUGAUUUAAAAAGGUUCAUAUAAUCUCUUUUGCUGUUAAGUUUGUUGAUGAAUCUAAAUUUGCAGAUUUGCCCACUUUUUGUUUGUUUGUA